AAUGUAAGCACCUGUAUUCAUUUUGUUCCUUUUUUUUCCUCCUGCACAAGUAGAAUGGGGGAAGUAUGUAGUCCAUGCAAUGAAGAAACACAAGAUUUUAAGAAACAAUUGUGACCUGAGUAGUAUCUCAUGAGUAGGAUCAGCUGCUCUCAAAUCUCCUUUGUCAUCUUCACAGGCUCCAGGUUACGUACAGCUGGGACUGCUGCUACCUGAUUGCAAGAAUUAUAUAAGACCAAGAUAAUGAAGGCUAGAUUUAAAAAACAUAAAGCCUAAACCUGUGUGUGCUAUGGUAAAAACCUGCAUUCCAUGAGGCAAAGCUUGAGUGGAUAAUGGACAUCUUUCAUAUUCUCCGGCUCAAUGAAUUGAAGCAUUCUCAUCUUUUGAAUCCCUCUACUCCAAAGAAGAAGCCAGCAGUCUUGUCCGGGACCCGCCCAGUACCCAAGGCUCAACUCCACAUCACUUCCAGGUAAGCAUUUUGGGUAUACUGACACCUCUGUGUCUCUUCAUUCACUUAUACAAUGAUUCUCUUUGGGUUCUGCAUCUUUUUCCGGUCUAGUUAGCGUGGCUGGGGUGGGUUAUGAGGCACACAAGGAAAAAAAUCUCAAGG
rnacentral:lncRNA from 1 species